UAUGCGAAAAACAAAGCUUAGCUAGCAGUAUCCUGAGUAGGGCGGGACACGAGGAAUCCUGUCUGAAUCCGGGUCGACCACGAUCCAACCCUAAAUACUAAUACCAGAUCGAUAGUGCACAAGUACCGUGAGGGAAAGGUGAAAAGAACUGAGGUGAUCAGAGUGAAAUAGAACCUGAAACCAUUUGCUUACAAUCAUUCAGAGCCCUAUGUAGGAAUACAGGGUGAUGGACUGCCUUUUGCAUAAUGAGCCUGCGAGUUGUGGUGUCUGGCAAGGUUAAGCAAACGCGAAGCCGUAGCGAAAGCGAGUCUGAAUAGGGCGCUUAGUCAGAUGCUGCAGACCCGAAACGAAGUGAUCUAUCCAUGAGCAAGUUGAAGCUAGUGUAAGAACUAGUGGAGGACUGAACCCAUAGGCGUUGAAAAGCCCCGGGAUGACUUGUGGAUAGGGGUGAAAGGCCAAUCAAACUUCGUGAUAGCUGGUUCUCUCCGAAAUAUAUUUAGGUAUAGCGUUGUGUCGUAAUAUAAGGGGGUAGAGCACUGAAUGGGCUAGGGCAUACACCAAUGUACCAAACCCUAUCAAACUCCGAAUACCUUAUAUGUAAUCACAGCAGUCAGGCGGCGAGUGAUAAAAUCCGUCGUCAAGAGGGAAACAACCCAGACUACCAGCUAAGGUCCCUAAAUCUUACUUAAGUGGAAAACGAUGUGAAGUUACUUAAACAACCAGGAGGUUGGCUUAGAAGCAGCCAUCCUUUAAAGAAAGCGUAAUAGCUCACUGGUCUAGUGAUUUUGCGCGGAAAAUAUAACGGGGCUAAAGUAAGUACCGAAGCUGUAGACUUAGUUUACUAAGUGGUAGGAGAGCGUUCUAUUUGCGUCGAAGGUAUACCGGUAAGGAGUGCUGGAGCGAAUAGAAGUGAGCAUGCAGGCAUGAGUAGCGAUAAUUAAUGUGAGAAUCAUUAACGCCGUAAACCCAAGGUUUCCUACGCGAUGCUCGUCAUCGUAGGGUUAGUCGGGUCCUAAGUCGAGUCCGAAAGGGGUAGACGAUGGCAAAUUGGUUAAUAUUCCAAUACCAACAUUAGUGUGCGAUGGAAGGACGCUUAGGGCUA
rnacentral:rRNA from 1 species